GUCUACUGCCAUACCACCCUGAACGUGCCCGAUCUCGGAAGCUAAACAGGGUCGGGCCUGGUUAGUACUUGGAUGGGAGAAAACAGUUGGCAGAUC
rnacentral:rRNA from 1 species